rnacentral:rRNA from 1 species
UACGUAGGAGGCGAGCGUUGUCCGGAAUUACUGGGCGUAAAGAGCGCGUAGGCGGCACGGUACGACCGGUGUGAAAGCCCCCGGCUCAACUGGGGAGGGUCACCGGUAACGGUCGAGCUAUGAGUGCAGGAGAGGGAAGUGGAACUCCGGGAGUAGCGGUGAAAUGCGUAGAGACCCGGAGGAACACCAGUGGCGAAGGCGGCGUUCCUGGUCUGCGACUGACGCUGUGGCGCGAAAGCUAGGGGAGCAAACGGG